UAAUACCUGAUAAGCCCACGGGAACUUUGGUUCUUGCGGGAAAAGAUGGCCUCUAUUUAUAAGCUAUUGUAUCAGGAUGGGUCCGCGUACCAUUAGCUAGUUGGUGGUGUAAUGGACCACCAAGGCGACGAUGGUUAGCUGGUCUGAGAGGAUGAUCAGCCACACUGGAACUGAGACAGGGUCCAGACUCCUACGGGAGGCAGCAGUGGGGAAUUUUGCGCAAUGGGGGAAACCCUGACGCAGCAACGCCGCGUGAGUGAUGAAGGCCUUCGGGUCGUAAAGCUCUGUCAGAGGGAAAGAAAUGUAGUGGUGUUAAUACCGCCAUUACUUGACGGUACCCUCAAAGGAAGCACCGGCUAACUCCGUGCCAGCAGCCGCGGUAAUACGGAGGGUGCGAGCGUUGUUCGGAGUUAUUGGGCGUAAAGCGCGUGUAGGCGGUCUUUUAAGUCUGAUGUGAAAGCCCCGGGCUCAACCUGGGAAGUGCAUUGGAAACUGGAAGACUUGAGUACGGGAGAGGGCAGUGGAAUUCCUAGUGUAGGAGUGAAAUCCGUAGAUAUUAGGAGGAACACCGGUGGCGAAGGCGGCUGCCUGGACCGAUACUGACGCUGAGACGCGAAAGCGUGGGGAGCAAACAGGAUUAGAUACCCUGGUAGUCCACGCCGUAAACGAUGAGUACUAGGUGUCGCGGGUA
rnacentral:rRNA from 1 species